GGCUCUUUGAUUAUUUUAUAUAGAGAGUCGAACCUGCCCAGUGAUUUUAUUUAACGACCGCGGUACUCUGACCGUGCAAAGGUAGCAUAAUCAUUUGCCUUAUUAUUGAAGGCUAGUAUGAAUGGUUUGACAAGAAUAGUACUGUCUCAAUAAACAUUUUAUAAAAUUUGGUUUUUAGGUGAAGAAACCUAAAUAAUAUUAAAAGACAAGAAGACCCUAUCGAGCUUAAAAUAAUUUAUUUGGAAUUUUUGUUAAUAUCAGUUUCUGCUAAAAUUUUUUUGUUGGGGCGACUAAGGAAUAUAAAAAACUUCCUAUAAAAUUUAGAAACUUUUAUGUUUUGAUCCAAAAAUUUUGAUUAACAGAAUUAGUUACCGUAGGGAUAACAGCAUUAUCUUUUUUGAGAGUUCUUAUCGAAAAAAAGGUUUGUGACCUCGAUAUUAGACUAGGAUACCCAGAAAGGUGCAGAAGCCUUCAAUGGUUGGUCUGUUCGACCAUUAAUAUCCUACA
rnacentral:rRNA from 1 species